AAAUGCUCAUUGAGCAUAGGUUUUGUGGCAGUCCCAGUUGGGACAAAGCAUGGGUGGAAUUCCUUCCCUUAUGGAGCUUACAGAUCAGUGAACACACUCAGAGGGUGGCAGUGGGAGCCAGAUUGCAGAGGAUCUAGUGAAACAAAAAAAACUAUGGAGAGAGUGUGAAUCAGGCAUUUGAUACUUCUCUCCUCUGAGUUGGGUUCUAGAGAGACAGACACAAUACUCCAUGGUCCUUCUGUGCUUUAAAUACAGCCUUAUGAUCUGAGGCUUCCCUUUCUGUCCCUAUUAAAAAUGUCCUGUAGGUAGAAGACUUGAUAGACUCAGUAGGAUGUUAAUGACUGAUGAAGCUUAAUAUACUAGUUUCCUAGGGGUAUAUGAAUUGUGGGAAACACAGGCAGUCACAGCUUAAAUGAAUAAGUCUCUUUCGAUUUUUAGAUACCAUUGAACAGAUGGAGAUGGAAAUUUAUGAGGGUCAGAGUUGCCUUUUUGUUGACCGUGAAAUUACAUCACAAAAGCAGCUGCUAAGAUUCCCUGCUGUCCACAGAGCCUGUAUUUAAGAAAGACCAUUCAAGAUAAGACUGAGCUGUGGAAUUAUAAAACCUUUGGAAAAUCUUUCAUGUGAGAACAACAUGGGGGCAAGCCUCUGACCAAAAUAGCUCAAAAAUUUGUGUUACGCAGUUACAGUAAAUACCCAAGAGCUUGACGCAUAAAACACAACAGCCUCCUGGAGACAGAGGGAGGAGAAAGAAAGAUAAAGUCUGUGGCUUUAGAAGAAAAGGAAUAACUUAAGAGGCUUGUUUGCUGUUCAGGCUGGCCACCAAGGAUGACAUUUUGGUAGGUUUGGCAUGUUCCUGAGACUGUUCUUAACUUUGUUGGUCCCCUAAAAUGUACGUAAUUGAUGCAACAUGUCUGAGGAAGUGGAUGAGGUGUGAGAAAUCAUGGUAUUCCUAUUCACAAGGGACUACUUUACAACCAGACACAAUUAUUUUACAGAGAACUCUGGUUUGCAAGAGGACCUGAAUAUUAAUAUUAGUUGGUCAAUGCAUUCUCUCCCUGGAUGAGAAUCUUUUGUGGGAAGCAGCAUAAUAUAAAAUGCCAUUCAAGAUUCUGCAUGUAGCAUCAAAGAGUCAGCGAAUUCUGGCUCUGCCAACUACUUGGCUGUGGGACCUGGGAUAUAUUACUUACUUUCCAUAAGCCUCAGCCUUUUCGUAUAUACAAUGGAUUUAGAAAGACUAGGGUGAAAGAAGAAAGUGAAUUUAGGUAUGUAAAAUAUUUACCAUGUGAUGGGCAGCUAGCUAGAUAUUUUACAAAUCUAUAAUCUGGAAACAUGAAAGACAGACUAGCUGGAUUUCCUAGGCCAACUAAGAUUUCCUAAGCCUAGCUGGGAAGGUGACCGCAUCCACCUUUAAACAUGGGGCUUGCAACUUAGCUCAAACCUGACCAGUCAGAUAGUAAAGAGAGCUCACUAAAAUGCUAAUUAGGCUAAAACAGGAGGUAAAGAAAUAGCCAAUCAUCAAUCACCUGAGAGCACAGGGGGAGGGACAAUGAUCACGAUAUAAACCCAGGCAUCCGAGCCGGCAAUGGCUACCCUCUUUGGGUCCCCUCCCUUUGUAGGGGAGCUCUGUUUUCACUCUAUUAAAUCUUGCAACUGCAUUCUCUUCUGGUCCGUGUUUGUUAUGGCUCGAACUGAGCUUUUGCUCGCUGCCCACCACUGCUGUUUGCUGCUGUCGCAGACCCACCACUGACGUCUAUCCCUCUGGAUCCGGCAGGGUAUCCACUGUCCUAAUCCAGUGAGGGGCCCAUUGCUGCUCCCGAUCAGGCUAAAGGCUCGCCAUUGUUCCUGCACGGCUAAGUGCCUGGGUUCGUCCUAAUGGAACUGAACACUAGUCACCAGGUUCCACGGUUCUCUUCUGUGACCCAUGGCUUCUAAUAGAACUAUAACACUCACCGCAUGGCCCAAGAUUCCAUUCCUUGGAAUCCGUGAGGCCAAGAACCCCAGGUCAGAGAACAUGAGACUUGCCGCCAUCUUGGAAGCGGCCCACCACCAUCUUGGGAGCUCUGGGAGCAAGGACCCCCUGGUAACAAACAGACACAAGAGAAUUAGGUGGAGAAUCUUCCAACCAAGUGCUCUUAACCAACAGAAUCAUACCUUCCAAGGGAGGCUGAUUGUCUUGUCUGUUGAUCGGGUCUCCAUUUCUAAGAUGUGAAAGACACACUGACCUGUUUCUGCUUAUUGACUUCCUUCUUUCUAGACCUGUGAUGACCAGAACACAUUCUUUUUUUUUUUUUUUGAGGCAGAGUCUUGCUUUGUCACCCAGGCUGUAGUGCAGUGGUGCAAUCUCGGCUCACUGCAACCUCUGCCUCCCUGGUUCAAGCGAUUCUCCUGCCUCAGCCUCCCGAGUAGCUGGGACUACAGGCACAUGCCACCAUGCCUGGCUAACUUUUGUAUUUUUAGUAGAGACGAGGUUUCACCAUGUGGGCCAGGAUGGCCUCGAUCUCCUGACCUCGUGAUCCACCCACCUUGGCCUCCCAAAGUGCUGGGAUUACAGGCGUGAGCCACUGCACCCGACCCAGAACACAUUCUUAAAUAGGAUAGAUUAGACUGCCUACUUGUUACAUGCCAGUUCUAAGCAUGCAACAGAGCCACAUUGAUUGGCCUUGAGUGGCUCCAAACUACUGACAAAUGAAUUCACAGACCAUCUUAAGCACAAUUCUUCAUGUAGUUGAUUAAGUGUGCCAUCGUGUGCUCAUUCUUGCUAUUUUCACAUUCAAUGGGUGGUCUUAUUAUACUUUAUUGUGCUUUAUGUAUUGACUAUGGAGCUUAGUAUAUGUUUCUGAAAAAUUUAAUUUUUGCUUAAAAGGCUGCAAUAAGGUUCAGUUGCAGAUAGCAGAGAUAGUUCCAGCUAGUUUGAGCAGAAAGGGACUUAAUAUAGGGAGUUAGUUGGCUACAACAUUGUUCAAAGUGCUGGAAAAGCAACCCUUAGGCUGGGCCUCUAGAAAUGACUGUAGAAUAAGAGUUACCCUGCAGAACUUGCCCACCAAGAGAGCUGUCAUCUUUGUCACAAUUGAAAAGUCAGGGAGUCAGGAAGCUGCUAUUCAAACUGCUGGCCUCAGGUUCAUACUACCUUGACUAUGACCCAGGAAGUCAUUGUCAAAUUUGUUGGCUCCAACCCAUGUGUCUGCUAUAGUCUACACCUGUAUCAGAUGCUUUUUGUACUACUUCUGUUUGCAUUUAACCAUUUCCAAAACAAAUCAUUGUGAUUGUAUCUAACUGGCCUAAUCCAAGUCACAAUCAUAACCAUGUACGUAAGGGAGUCUGGGAAAUCUUAUUUUUAGUUUUUCAACCUUGUAGGAUACUAUAAGAAGAUUGGGAUAGAUACUGAGUGAGCCUCAGAAAAUCAGCUGGAUAUACCCCAGGCAAGUACUUGUGCUAAGUGAUAAUUCAGAUACUACAGAGAAUUCAAAGAUAAAGUAAGCCAGAUUUUGUCAAGAGCACCUGUCUAUAAUCUAAUAAAGGAGAAGAGACAAAUCCAGUGUUUUCAUAUGGCAUUGCUUCCUAAUGAGUCUGAUGAGCCAAAUGUCCUUCCUAGGUAGUCAUAAAACAUAUUUAUCCUAUCAUAGCUUUUAAAACACAGUAUUGUAAUUGUUGGUUAUUUUACCUGUGCACUCAGUGGACUGCUAGCUGUUGAAGGCAGGGACCAUGUGAAUCUUGCUAGCUGUUAAACAGCCAGUGUUUAAUCCAGUGCCAAGCAAUAUUUGUUGAAUGACUGGAUACAUGAAAACAAGUGGGAGUCAAAAUUACAACCUCUAAGGAUGUAGGUGUUCAUUUAUUAUAGAACAGAAUAUUUUCUUCUUGCCAGUCUUAUCUCUAAACUAAAUUAGAAGACUCUAAGCAAUAAAUUGAACACUAUGUUAAGAGAAUGUGUUUCCUCAUGACAGCCCGCCAGUCCUGCACUCUCCCUAAAUGACAACUACAUAUUAGUGGCUGGAAAAAGUGGCUACGUUUUCUUUUACUAUGAAAGAGGAAAGAGGACAUUUCCUUUUGCUAGCAAAGAGGAAACUAUUGUGUCACAUAAAUGAAGCAUAUUGCUAGUUGCUAUAAAAAUUAGAUUUAUAGUCAAGGUUGCCCAUUCUGAGUUACUUCUUGGGAUAGGCAAUACAAAAUGUUACAGGAUCUGAGAUGUUUAUAAAUAAUAUUUGAAAACCCACUCGCUACUGCUGCUGCUAUUAAAAUUAGUAUUUAGAGUAUAUAAUAAGCAUGAAUUAGAAGGCUUAAUACUGUAUGGUCUCAAAACUAAAUGGCUUAUGAGGUCAGGUGCCAUUUUACCCCAUUUUAUAGCUGAUGCUCUGAGUCUUGUAGAGUUUUACUGGUCCAAUAUUAUGGGAUUAGUGUUAUAACAAGUGGAUUCUCAAAGUUAGGCCCAUCCGAUCCCAAAGUUUAUGUUUUUAACUGCUAUUGUAUGUGAGUUUCACCAGUAGUUUUCCUUAUUCUGUAAGAAAACUCUUCUUAUCAUAAAUAUGAACAGUGUAUAGUGAUGUCCAGUAUAUAUGAUGCUUUCUACAUGGCAACUCUUUGUGAUGCUCACAGUAACCAUGCAAAGCUUUCUAUCUCUAUGUUAAAAAUUCUAAAAUAGAAACUUAGAAUGCAUAGAGCCAAACCUUCAGUGGAGGCAUUCUGACGCUAAAUGCUGAUCUUGUGUCUUUUCUUCAAGCUCCCUCCCACCACAUGAACUAAAGAUCUGCAAGCUGUAACCUUUUCCGAAGGGCUACCUGGGCCUCUGUGUCCAUCAGAGCUGAUGAGCUGAUCUUCAUUCACCAUAAGUGCAACUAUCAUGGCUCAUGGAGCCUUGGAGAGAGUAGCACAUAUAUUGAACUUCAGUUUUAAAAAGUCUAAUACUUUUCUAAAAUGACUUGCUAUCUAUUUCAUCCAGAGAAGAUUUAUUACGUAGCCUUUCUAGCAUAAAAUAUCAUUACUUUUAAAGAAAAAUCCAAUCUAAAUUCCUCUAACUACAAUGGAAGUCCCCUUUUCUUAUUCAUUUCUCACUCAAAUAUGGGACAACCAGUCACUUCCAUUAAAUCUAAUCUUCCUGUAUGCUCUUGAAGAUAACUACCAGUUAAACAGAGCUAUCUAUGGGAAUGGUUUUUGAAAGAAAAAUUGCGUUGUUUCAGUACUUUGGAGGAUGGCUGAUGUUUGCCUUUUCAAGAGAUGUAUCAUGGACUGUUUUUGUUAAACUAACUUAGCUUCAAGAAUUUGAGACUAACUCAGAUUUUCUCAAACAGUGGGGGAUUUGAUGCAGCAAUAUGCAGGCAUGGGAUAUCAGAAAGAGCCAGAUAACCAAAGGAAGAGUAGUAGCUGAAGCGGGAUUCUAAGACCAAGGUGGGUUAAGUUAGCUCGGAAGCUUGGGAUAUAAGGCUUUUCAUUCUAGGGUUCUAACUUAAUAUUGCUCUACAUGUGGCUUGACUUUCUCAUAAUUUUAGAUUGUAUUUUGUGAUUUGCCUUAUUUUCUUUGUAUUUAUUGACUUUAAUCCUCAGGAGAGACAAUAUGAAUUUAUUUAAGACAGAUUAGAUCCUAGCUCUGGGUCAGAUACUCAGCCUUUAUCCAAUAAGAUUCCCUUCCUCCAGUGACCUGGACCUGCUGGGUAAUGGCAUCACAUGUGCAGAUUGUAGCUGUUUCUUUAGCAGAGGCUAUGGGCAGAGUCACUUCCACUAGAAGGGGCUGCAGGCAUUUCAGGCGAUGUGCUAAAACAAAGGCAGUUUCUGCAAAAGAGCACAUUCUAUUUAUUCUACCUUCUGGAUGUGGCAUGAAUCCAUCUAUCUCUCUCUAUCCCCACUGUAGCUGUUCCAGUUCAGGUCACCAUACCUUAUGUCUUAACUAUAGUAAUAGCUUUCAUAAAUAUAUAUAUAUAUAUCCCUGCCUUCUGUGGUGUCCAAUUCAAAGCAUUUUCAAUUCUACAGUCAGAGAGAAAACAUAAAUUAAUCUGAUUUCUUCUCUUCUAAAAAGUUCCAGUGAUUUAGGAGAAACCACAUUCUCUAACAUAAUUUAUGAGACCCAUGCUGGCUUCUAACUAAAUCUCCAUCCUCAUCUCUAAGCCCCACUUUUACUCUAUGGUUUAGUCCAUUACCUGUAGACCUUCUACUCUGUUACCUUGGCUUAUGAAACACUUCCCUACUUUUUAUGGCUAACAUUCAUUCAUGUUUAGGUCCCAGCUGAUGCUUUCCCAACCUUCCAGUCUAGAUUAGAAGUCCCUCUUAGAUAUACUUCCAGCAUCCUGAAAUUGUCAUAGAGUUGAAUUUCAGUGACCUAUUUCAUGUAUUCUGGUGAAAACUCUAAGUGUGUGAGUGCAGGGGCUGUUAUCAGUCAUUACUGGCUCUCCAGUGCCUGGUAUAUGGUGAGUACUCUAUCAAUAUAUGUUAAAUCAACAAGAGAAAGAGAGAAAUCAUUUUUCAUAUUAUAGUGCUUAAAAUCCAUAUAGUUACAACACCAGGAGUGAACCCCAAUGUAAACUAUGGACUUUGGGUGGUAACGUGUCAAUGUAGGUUCAUGAAUUGCAAAAAAUGUGCCACUCUGGUGAGGGAUGUUGAUAAUGGAGGCUAUGCAUGUGUCGGGGUAGGGGGUGUAUGGGAAAUCUCUGAACUUACCUCUCUUCUGUGAACCUUCUCUAAAAGAUAAAAUCUAUUUCUAAAAAUUCCUGUUGUGUGUUGUCUCAUUUCACAUUACACCACCCUUCUCCCUCGUUGGUUUCUGCUCUGGCUUCCCUGGUCUUUUCUCAGUUCUUUGUGACUCUUCCCCUCUCCUUCCACUGUCCUUGUGUAUGCCAUUUCAUCUGCCUGGAACACUCUUCUUGUGCCUGGUUUGCUGCCAGUUAGCUUUCAGAUUUUAGCUCAGUUACCUCUUUUUCAGGAAGCCUCUUCUGAUUCUAUGCCCCAGACUAGAUAAAAUCCUCCCAUUAUAUGUGACCAGCAUCAUAUACUUCUUCAUGACACUAAUGACAGUUCUAACUUCGCAUUUAUUUUUGCAAGUAUGUCUGUUUAUGGUUAUUACAGUCCUAAUCUUAGGAAAACACCUGAUAAGAGAGGAAAAAUAAUUAUUUGAUGAAUAAAUAAUUCAUCAAAUUUUAGUGUAAUAUUGUCAGAUAAAACAUACCAUAAGAACAUGGUGAAUAAGGUGGUGAGAACAUCAAAGGUCUUCAGAAAUCGGUUACCCGGUGUAGUAAAAAGGACUAGUAACAAAGUAUGACAUCAAGGGAUUGAAUCUCUGUUACACAGUAAGCUAGCCAUGUGAAGUACAUAUUACUUCAUUUAUCUGAAUUUCAACUUCUACAAUGGUAAAAUGGGGAUAAUUUUUUUCCCUUUCUGAAAAAUUAAAGGAGAUAAAACAGGUAAAUAUCUCUGUAAGCUGCCAUAUAAGGACAGAUAUAGUGGCAAAGUUCAAUUUUCUUCAAGGUAAAUUAUAAGCAAACAUAGAUGUAGAGCAUAAUUUUCUUCACAGCCAAAGUUUGCCCUAUAAAAAGACAGUAAAAACUGAAAAAAUGUUUGAAAUUUUUUUUUUCAUUUUGUUUCUAACAGAAAUCAUUUUCAUGCUGCAUUACAGUUGCCAGAUUAGUCAUUAAAUAAACAGUAUACAAUUCAUUGAACUCUCUGUUAGCCCAUUUGAAAGAUGAUGAAGUUAGAAUGCUUAAUAUAUGGUCCUUUGUGUUUGGAGCAGAUAAAAGCGUUCUGGAAAAUUCCCAAGAGGUUAGAUAUUAAUGGAAAGAUCUGCCUCCCUUGGCCCUAAGAAAAACAUGAUAGUUUCUAUAGAACUAGAAAUGAAGGAUUUGAAAGUAACUUAAAAUUAAUCCACCUUUAACUUGAAGAGCACAAAGCACAUUACGAUAAAACAGGUGUUUUACAUUAUUCAUUUAAUUUUCACCAGUCCUUUGAGGGGACUACUAUUAUUCCAAUAUUACAAGGAAAAGUAGUUGAGAGAGGAAAUACAUUUACCUGAGGCCACUUACUCUUUGGUGUCUAGGGUUCAGCCCACCUAAGGCAACUGGCAUGUUAGGAGUAUCUCUGUGUGCCUUCUCUGUGCUGGCUAAUGUGAGAGUUAGAAAAGGAACACAGCUUUUGAAAUAUUAGAAUCCUUUUUAAAUCAAAUCUGACAAUUUUCAUGUUGCAGAAGGAGAAAAUGAAAUUUGAGAAAUUGUGUCUCUUGAUUAAAGUUACACAAAGAAGGGCAGAAUAUGUACCUGUCUCAUCUAGAACAGCACACAGCAGGGACUCUAUAAGUCUUAACUGAUUGAUCCAGUUUUAUGUUCCUCUUAUUAAAAAGAAAAGGAGAGAUCUUUAGGAGAAGGAUCUGAUGCUACUCUUAAGGGAAGAAUUCAGGGUCCCUGGCUUCUAGGUUCUCUGGGAGUAUGGGACUUCCUCUAUCAGAUUCCCACAUAUCCAAUCUGAUGUCAGACUUUUGACACUAACUGCAAAACCUAGGCUUUGUGAGUGUUCCUUGGAAAAUACUGUGCAGUUCUGGGGCUCAGUGAUGAUUUUCACAUUAAUUCACUAUUGGACUUUCAAUCUUCUGAGACAAUGGCGAGUAAUUGUAAGGCAGGCAAGUAGCACUUUGAAGGUGUCAUGAAAUGUACCUUUAUCAGUGUUCACAAGACUAGUUAAUGACAGAGUAAAAUUAUGUCCCAGUGUUAUAUAAACAUGUGAAUCCAUUUCAGCACUCCCUUUUUCCAUUCAAGGAAAUAUUGAAUUAUUUUUCUUCAGGGAAGAGAAGUGAGUUUCAGAUUUGGUUCUCUUUCUGCAACUGCUUUGUGUCCUUGAGUAAGACAUGCAUGGAAGGGGUUAGGUGGUGAAGCAGGUAGACUGAAGCGGAAGUGCUCAGGCUCUGAAGUCAGAUCUCAGUUCAAAUCUCCUGAGCAGUUUAUUUAUCUACAGAAGACCCUAGUUCCUGCAUUUCUAAAAUAGAAAUAAUUGUGAUACUCCUGUCAUUGGUACAGAGGGUUGGAUGAUCUAAUUCUAGUAAAGUCUCUUAGCACUUGGGAGGAACUGUGUAUUGAGUUUCCACUAAGGAAAGGCCAAUAUUCCUGCAGAGGAAGACAUACCAGCUGCCUGAGGCUUCAGUUCUCCAAUGGCUUUCUUACUCUAAACCGGAGAGGAAUGGGCUGGGUCAACAAUAUUUUCGCAAUUGCCCAGAAAGCAUAAGUAAUGAAUAGUUCUUCCUGUAGUGGCAGGAACAUCCAUGCUCACCUUUGCACUUCUGGGGAGCUUGGGGAUCCCCAUCCUUGAGUACCUCAAAUCACACUGAGGCUUCCCAUGGCCCACCUUUCCUGUCUGUCUAGUUGCAAGGGGCAGGAUGAGAAUAAUUUAUCUUUGUCUCCUCUCUCUUCUGCAUCAUUAAUUUUUCCCUCUCUGUUACACCAUUCCUAUCAGCAUACAAAUAUGCUGCCAUUUUCCCCACAUUAAUAUAAUGUUUCUUGAUCUCAUUUUUCAAGUAAUACUGUAUUUCUUUACUGCCUUUCAGAGCAAAACUUUUAAAAAGACUUGACUUUAUUACUUCCAAUUCUUCCUUCUAGUCUUCACCCUUAACACCUCUAUGAGAAAGCUCUUGAUUGAGGACCUCUGCAUGGCUAAAUCCAAUAGAAAAUUCUCAGUCUUUUUCUUAUUUGAGCACUCAGAAACAUUUGGUUAAGCUGAUCACUGCCUCCUCCUUGAAAUGAUUGAUUUAUUUGGCUUCUAGGACAUUGUUAUAUUCUCCCUCCCUUCAUGUUCUCCAGGGCAAUAUUUUUAGAACUCUUUUCUUUGUUAUCUCAUCCAGUAUUAUGUUUUCAGUUGCUUCUAUACAUUGAUAACACUUAACCUGUAGAUUCAUAUAUAUGUGAAUCUGACUGUCCAACAGCUCCACUUGGAUUGCAGGUAGAAAUCUUGUCUCAAACCUCACAUGCCCCCAAACUAAAUCCUGAACUUCUUUCCCCAAAUCUGGUCCCUAUAAUUUUUCCCAACAUCUUGGUAAUAAUGAUAGCAAACAUUUACAUGGGGCUAUGUGGCAAGUACUAUUUUAAUAAUUUUUUUAUAUUCACUCACAUAAUCCUCAACACCAUGUGAGGUUGGCAUUAUUAUUACUUCUAUUUUGCAAUGCAGAAUGGAGGAAAAUACUUGCCUAGUGUCACAGUGGCAGAGUUGGACUGCAAAGCCAGACUGCCUGGUUCUGGUCUUUCUACUAGCAUACUUCCAAUUCCUGAAGCCAAGCAUUUUGAAAUAAUCUAUGACUUCUCUCUCUUACACCCACAUCCAAUCCAAUAGCAAAUCUUGUUGGCAAUACUUUCUUGAUAUAUUCAGAAUCUGACCACUUACCACCCACAUUGUCACCAUCCUGGUCCAAGCCAUCCUCUGUUUCUUCUGCCCACCUUAUGCCCAUUGCGAUCUGUCUUAGCAAAGCAGCCAAAGGGAGGCAGGUCAUGUUACACCUGCUGCUCAUGGCUUCCCAUCUCUCAGAGUUAAACACAGCAUUCAUACAGUGACCUCCAAGGACUUAAAUCCUCAGCUGUCUCUCCUAUUACCGCCAUAAUCUCACCUUCUACUGAUCUCCUUGCUCAUUCCACUCCACUCACGCUGGGCUCCUAGUGGUUCCCGGAAGAUGUACAUGCUUGCUCUUGUCUCAGGCCAUAUGCACUUGCCUUUCCCUGGCAUGUUUUUCUCCCAGAUUUCCACAUGCCUCGCCUCCUACUUCCUUCAGCUCUUUGGUUAAAUGUCAUCUUUUUAGUGAAGUUUUCUAUUUAAAAUUGUCAUAUCUUACCCUACUGAAGUUAUUCCUUCUUCCUUGUUUUAAAUUUAUCAUCCUCUGACUUGCUUUUGUUUAUAUUUUUUAUUCCCAGUAGAAUAUUAAUUUCAGGGCAGAAGAGAUUUUUGCUGUUUCGGUCGUGGCAUUAUCUCCAGUAUUUAUGUGCCUGGAACAUAUUAGUUGCCCAUGCUUUGACGAGUGGGAUGGCCCUUUGAAGCAGAGAGACACCUUUCUCCCUGGGUGCUACCUGAGCACUUCUUAUAAAACCAUUUGUUUUAUUAUGACA